rnacentral:rRNA from 1 species
GACGAACGCUGGCGGCGGGCCUAAUACAUGCAAGUCGAACGAGUGGCGGACGGGUGAGUCAUGUCUGGGAAACUGCCUGAUGGAGGGGGAUAACAACUGGAAACGGUAGCUAAUACCGCAUACCAUGGGAUGUGCCCAGAUGGGAUUAGCUAGUAGGUGGGGUAACGUCUCACCUAGGCGACGAUCCCUAGCUGGUCUGAGAGGAUGACCAGCCCCACUGGAACUGAGACACGGUCCAGACCCCUACGGGAGGCAGCAGUGGGGAAUAUUGCACAAUGGGCGCAAGCCUGAUGCAGCCAUGCCGAGUGUAUGAAGAAGGCCUUCGGGUUGUAGAGUACUUUCAGCUGGGAGGCGUUACCCGAAGAAUAAGCACCGGCUAACUCCGUGCCAGCAGCCGCGGUAAUAC